rnacentral:rRNA from 1 species
CAUUUCUAUUAAAAUAAUUAAUAGUAAAAUCUGCUCAAUGAAAAUUAAAUAGCCGCAAUACGUGCUAAGGUAGAAAAAUAAUUUGGCUUUUAAUUAAAGUCUAAACAAAAGAUUUUUCGUUUUAAUAAAUAUAAAACUUUUAAUAAUUAAAAUUAUUUUAAUUUUUAAAAAAAGAUUAUAAAAAAUAAAGACGAUAAGACCCUAUUGAACUUAACUUUAGUUUAACUGGGGUAGUUAAUUAAAUAUAUUUUAAUUUAUAUUAAUAUGAAUUUAACCUAAUCAAUUUAAUUAAAAAUUAAGUUACCAUAGGGAUAACAGCGUAAUAAUUUUUAAAAAUUUCUAUUUUAAAAAAAGAUUACGACCUCGAUGUUGAAUUAAUAUUCUAAUUUACGCAAUAGUAGAUAAAGAAAGUCUGUUCGACUUUUAAAUAAUUACAUGAUCUG